rnacentral:rRNA from 1 species
AAGGCUUCAGUACGACCCAGUCAGAACUAUAAGUCUCAAAGCCCCGACGAGUAGGAUGGCGUGCCGGUGAGCGUUGAAGGCCAAGACGUGAGUCAGGCUGGAGCCGCCGGUAGUGCAGAUCUUGGUGGUAGUAGCAAGUACUCUGGUGAACCAACCUGGAGCUGUGAGGUCUGGAUCAGGGUUCCAUGUCAACAGUGAUUGAACAUGGGUGAGUCGAUCCUAAGCCAACUGUGAAAGCAGUGACAUCCCGACAAAGGGGCAAUUGGUGCGACCGCCUGGCACUCAUAUGCAGGUGGGGCGUCUGUGUGCACAUACUCGAGCCUCCUCACUCUCUCUCUCGAACUACUCUGCUCUGGUUACGCUCGAAUGCGUUAAGGAAAAGAGAGAGAGAGAUCUCAUGUGAGGCCGUGCCGCGCCCCUCUCUGCCCCUGUGUUUGCUGGUGCGUGUUCAAUCGUGAAGCUCUCUGCGUCUGGUUCUAUGUCUGGCGAAAGGGAAUGGGGACUUUGUUCCUUGACCGGUCCCGGCACCCUCGAUAGGCUUUGCCAAUCAAUGGUCCAUGCAAAUGGAACCAGGCCACAGCCGCCGGCAGUCGCCCGAGGAAGAGUUUUCUUUUCUGCUUAACGCACGAGAUCAUCCCUGGAAACAGUUCGGCUGGCGAAAGGGUGCCCCGUUGCGGCAGAGCGCCACGACUGUCGUGCGCGUCUCGGUGUUCCUGCCGGUCCGUGAAGACGUGGUCGAGGGGAUUGCUAUUUGUAUCAACGAAACGCCCGACAAGUUCGGGACGGACCGUACCCUAUAUCCGCAUCUGGUCUCCAAGGUUCGUAGCCUCUGCAGAGUCAGACACAUGUAGGUAAGGGAAGUCGGCAAACUCGAUCCGUAACUUCGGGAAAAGGAUUGGCUCUGAGGGCCGAGCUGGGCCGGGCCUUGCCUGCAAAGCAGUACCUAUAGUGACCGGAGUUUCAGGAGUGCGAGGGGCUCUAGUAGCUGCCUGUGUGCGCUCGCGCGUUCACGCGUGUGGGUGUGUAUGGGCACGAACGAGUCUACCGCUCCGCUCCAACCACGAACGGCUGUGACGGCAAGGGCUCUGGGCGGGAGCGUUCAAACCGUUGGCCCCCAGCUCGUCUGGGUGGCGGCGGUGCUCCGUCUGACCCAUACGGCUCCAGCGGCUAGCGGCUAACUCAGAACUGUCAUGGACCAAGGGAAUCCGACUGUCUAAUUAAAACAAAGCGUCGUGACGGCCCC